GGUAAGUUGGCCGAGAGAUAGGCGGCGGGUUGUAGCCCCGAAGACGGAGGUUAAAGUCCUCUUCUUACCA
rnacentral:tRNA from 1 species